rnacentral:tRNA from 1 species
GGAGGCGUGGCUGAGUGGUCUAAAGCGGCACGGUGCUAACGUGUUAAGGGGGUCAAACUCCUUCGGAGGUUCGAAUCCUCCCGCCUCCG